rnacentral:rRNA from 1 species
AAUCAACGCUGGCGGCGUGCCUCAGACAUGCAAGUCGAACGAUUAAAGCUCUCUUCGGAGAGUGCAUAGAGUGGCGCACGGGUGAGUAACACGUAAGUAAUCUACCCUCGAGUGGGAUAACGUCCGGAACGGACGCUAAUACCGCAUAAUGCAGCGGCACCGCAAGGUGACAGUUGUUAAAGAUUUAUCGCUUGAGGAGGAGCUUGCGGCAGAUUAGCUAGUUGGUAAGGUAAUGGCUUACCAAGGCUACGAUCUGUAACCGGUCUUAGAGGACGGUCGGUCACACUGACACUGAAUAACGGGUCAGACUCCUAC